rnacentral:rRNA from 1 species
UACGAAGGGGGCUAGCGUUGCUCGGAAUCACUGGGCGUAAAGGGUGCGUAGGCGGCGCGGUAAGUCGGGUGUGAAAUCUUGGAGCUUAACUCCGAAACUGCAUUCGAUACUGCCGUGCUUGAGGACUGGAGAGGAGACUGGAAUUUACGGUGUAGCGGUGAAAUGCGUAGAUAUCGUAAGGAAGACCAGUGGCGAAGGCGGGUCUCUGGACAGUUCCUGACGCUGAGGCACGAAGGUCAGGGGAGCAAACGGG